GACGAACGCUGGCGGCGUGCUUAACACAUGCAAGUCGAACGGAGUUAUGUUUUCGGAUGUAACUUAGUGGCGAACGGGUGAGUAACGCGUGAGGAACCUGCCUUUCAGUGGGGGACAACAGUUGGAAACGACUGCUAAUACCGCAUGAUACUAUAGUACCGCAUGGUACAUUAGUCAAAGAUUUAUUGCUGAAAGAUGGCCUCGCGUCUGAUUAGCUAGUUGGUGGGGUAACGGCCCACCAAGGCGACGAUCAGUAGCCGGACUGAGAGGUUGACCGGCCACAUUGGGACUGAGAUACGGCCCAG
rnacentral:rRNA from 1 species